CCCGCCGGCGACCGGCGCACGGGUGAGUAACACGUAUGCAACCUGGCCGCCACAGGGGGAUAACCCGCGGAAACGCGGCCUAAUACCCCGUGACGCCACCGGAGGGCAUCCUCCGGUGGCCAAAGGAGCGAUCCGGUGGCGGAUGGGCAUGCGGCGCAUUAGCUAGACGGGCGGGGGUGACGGCCCACCGUGGCGACGAUGCGUAGGGGUUCUGAGAGGAAGGCCCCCCACACUGGGACUGAGACACGGCCCAGACUCCUACGGGAGGCAGCAG
rnacentral:rRNA from 1 species